GAUGAACGCUGGCGGCGUGCCUAAUACAUGCAAGUCGAGCGAACAGACGAGGAGCUUGCUCCUCUGACGUUAGCGGCGGACGGGUGAGUAACACGUGGAUAACCUACCUAUAAGACUGGGAUAACUUCGGGAAACCGGAGCUAAUACCGGAUAAUAUAUUGAACCGCAUGGUUCAAUAGUGAAAGACGGUUUUGCUGUCACUUAUAGAUGGAUCCGCGCCGCAUUAGCUAGUUGGUAAGGUAACGGCUUACCAAGGCGGCGAUGCGUAGCCGCCCUGAGAGCGUGAUCGGCCACACUGGCACUGAGACACGGUCCCGACUCCUACGCGAGGCCGCAGUAGGGAAUCUUCCGCAAUGGGCGAAAGCCUGACGGAGCAACACCGCGUGAGUGAUGAAGGUCCUCGGAUCGUAAAACGCUGUAAUUCGGGAAGAACAAAUGUGUAAGUAACUAUGCACGUCUUGACGGUACCUAAUCAGAAAGCCACGGCUAACUACGUG
rnacentral:rRNA from 1 species